UUUUGUUUCUUGGAGGACCAAGACACAAGAGAUCUACCAAGAAAUUGACAAGUACCCGAAGUGGACUUUCUAUCAACCUUGUCACCGGCAUAGUCCAAGUCGGAGUAGCCAACAAGAUUGAAGGAGGCCCUCUUUGGAUACCAAAUGCCAAAGUUUGGUGUAUGAAUUAAGUAUCUCACAAUCCUUUUCACGGCCUUAAGAUAACAUUCUUUAGGGGCCGCUUGAUAUCGUGCACACAUUGUCACGCCCAAUAUGCGACCCUAUCCAAAAGGAACUCGAAGGUCCCACCAAGGAUAGACCCGCAUAUUGAAACACUUUUGCAAGGUGGAUAUCAUUACAUCAACAUUACAUAAUACAUGGGGAUACAUAUAAGAGGCAAUCAAUGCCACAUGAAUACAACAUCACAAUACAUAAGAGCAUCAUUCGACUACGGAUGAAACACAAACAGAAACUCAAACGACAUCCACCCUGCUAGCCCAGGCUGCCGACCUGGAACCUAUCCCAUGAUCGAAGAAGCAGAAGAAGAACUCAACGCAAGCAAGCAUCGCUCUCGCGUCAUGAUCAUCGCAUAAACCUGUACCUGCAACUGUUGUUGUAGUAAUUUGUGAGCCACGAGGACUCAGCAAUCCCAUUACCAUGGGUAUCAAGACUAGCAAAGCUUAAAGGAAAGGAAGGGGUGAAGUGGUGAGGUUGCAGCAGCGACUAAGCAUAUAUGGUGGCUAACAUACGCAAAUGAGAGCGAGAAGAGAAACAAAGGAACGGUCGUCAACUAGCAAUGAUCAAGAAGUGAUCCUGAACUCCUACUUACGUCAAACAUAACCCAGAAACCGUGUUCACUUCCCGGACUCCGCCGAGAAGAGACCAUCACGGCUACACACGCGGUUGAUGCGUUUUAAUUCGGAUCUGGUGUCAAGUUAUCUACAACCGGACAUUAACAAAUUCCCAUCUGCCAAUAACCGCAGGCACGGCUUUCAAAAGAUUAUACCCUGCAGGGGUGUCCCAACUUAGCCCAUGACAAGCUCUCGCGAUCAACGAAGGAAUAGACCUUCUCCCAGGAAGACCCGAUCAGACCCGGAAUUCCGGUUUACAAGACAUUUCGACAAUGGUAAAACAAGACCAGCAAGACCGCCCGAUGUGCCGACAAUCCCGAUAGGAGCUGCACAUAUCUCGUUCUCAGGGCAACACCGGAUGAGCAAUCCGUACAACUAAAACCAUACCUCAAGUUUCCCUGAGGGGGCGCUGCAAAGGGCUCUAGUUCGGACCAACACUUAGACAAGCACUGGCCCGGGGGGGGCUGUAAUAAAGAUGACCCUUGGGUUAAUUACUCCCAAGGGAAAAGUAGGUGGUGGUGAGGCAAAUGGUAAAACCAAUGUUGGGCCUUGCUGGAGGAGUUUUAUUCAAAGCGAACUGUCAAGGGGGUCCCAUAAAUCACCCGACCGCGUAAGGAACGCAAAAUCCGGGAACAUAACACCGGUAUGACGGAAACUAGGGCGGCAAGAGUGGAACAAAACACCAGGCAUAAGGCCGAGCCUUCCACCCUUUACCAAGUAUAUAGAUGCAUUAAUAAUAUAAGAGAUAUUGUGAUAUCCCAACCAAAAUCCUGUCCACCAUGGAGCAAUCUUCAACUUCACCUGCAACUAGCAACGCUAUAAGAGGGGCUGAGCAAAGCGGUAACAUAGCCAAGCAACGGUUUGCUAGGAAGGGUGUCAAAUGUUAGGGGUUCAUGGCAAUUUGGGAGGCUUGAAGAGCAAAAGAUAGGUAACGCAGCAUAGCGACAGAAUGAAGUAACUAGCAUAGCAAUGAUAGUAGUGAGAUCCAGGGUAGCGGUCAUCUUGCCUGAGAUCCCGCAAGGAAGAAGAACGAGUCCAUGAAGAAGACGAACGGAUGAAACCGAACCAAGCGUAGACGAACGAAUCCUCACGAUCGCAACAUUACCGGAACUAAUAAGCAACACUGGAAAGAAGCAAACAACAUGGUAAACAACCAUCACAUAAACAUGGCACGAUGCACAACCAAGUAUGAUGCAUGUCCGGUUUAAUAAGGCAUGGCAUGGCAAAGUGCAACAAACAACACUACAAGUUAAGUGGAGAUCAAUAUGCAAUGAGUUGCAUAUUGACGAAACACCACAUCAAUUAUUUAGUUCUCUCUCGGUUAAGCUACCAAACAAUAUUAAAUGUUAUUAAACAUGGCAAGGGGUGAAGCACGAGAAAAACUACCUAUCUAGACAAGUUUAAAUGAGGCCGGAACAAC
rnacentral:lncRNA from 1 species